GAUUCUUUAGUAUAAUUAAGUAUGUUUGACUUCCAAUCAAAAGGUUCCGAGGAUUA
rnacentral:tRNA from 1 species